rnacentral:rRNA from 1 species
UACGUAGGGCGCAAGCGUUGUCCGGAAUUAUUGGGCGUAAAGAGCUCGUAGGCGGCUUGUCACGUCGGAUGUGAAAGCCCGAGGCUUAACCUCGGGUCUGCAUUCGAUACGGGCUAGCUAGAGUGUGGUAGGGGAGAUCGGAAUUCCUGGUGUAGCGGUGAAAUGCGCAGAUAUCAGGAGGAACACCGGUGGCGAAGGCGGAUCUCUGGGCCUUACCUGACGCUGAGGAGCGAAAGCGUGGGGAGCAAACAGG